rnacentral:rRNA from 1 species
UACGUAGGGUGCGAGCGUUGUCCGGAAUUAUUGGGCGUAAAGAGCUCGUAGGCGGUUUGUUGCGUCGGCCGUGAAAACCUGCAGCUUAACUGUGGGCCUGCGGCCGAUACGGGCAGACUUGAGUUCGGUAGGGGAGACUGGAAUUCCCGGUGUAGCGGUGAAAUGUGUAGAGAUCGGGAGGAACACCGGUGGCGAAGGCGGGUCUCUGGGCAAUUCCUGACGCUGAGGCGCGAAAGCGUGGGGAGCAAACAGG